rnacentral:rRNA from 1 species
AGAGUUUGAUCCUGGCUCAGAUUGAACGCUGGCGGCAGGCCUAACACAUGCAAGUCGAGCGGCAGCGGAAGGAAGCUUGCUUCCUUGCCGGCGAGCGGCGGACGGGUGAGUAAGGUAUGGGGAUCUGGCCAAAGGCGGGGGAUAACCACUGGAAACGGUGGCUAAUACCGCAUAAUCUCUAAGGAGCAAAGUGGGGGACCAUUAUGGCCUCACACCUUCGGAUGAACCCAUAUGAGAUUAGCUAGUAGGUGGGGUAAAGGCUCACCUAGGCGACGAUCUCUAGCUGGUCUGAGAGGAUGAUCAGCCACACUGGGACUGAGACACGGCCCAGACUCCUACGGGAGGCAGCAGUGGGGAAUAUUGCACAAUGGGCGCAAGCCUGAUGCAGCCAUGCCGCGUGUAUGAAAAAGGCCUUCGGGUUGUAAAGUACUUUCAGUCGUGAGGAAGGUGUUAAGGUUAAUAGCCUUAGCAAUUGACGUUAGCGACAGAAGAAGCACCGGCUAACUCCGUGCCAGCAGCCGCGGUAAUACGGAGGGUGCGAGCGUUAAUCGAAAUUACUGGGGCGUAAAGGGCACGCAGGCGGUUAAUUAAGUCGGAUGUGAAAUCCCCGGGCUUAACCUGGGAAUGGCAUUCAAGACUGGUUAGCUAGAGUCUUGUAGAGGGGGGUAGAAUUCCAUGUGUAGCGGUGAAAUGCGUAGAGAUGUGGAGGAAUACCGGUGGCGAAGGCGGCUCCCUGGACAAAGACUGACGCUCAUGUGCGAAAGCGUGGGGAGCAAACAGGAUUAGAUACCCUGGUAGUCCACGCUGUAAACGAUGUCGGUUUGGAGGUUGUGGUCUAGAACUGUGGCCUCCGGAGCUAACGCGUUAAAUCGACCGCCUGGGGAGUACGGCCGCAAGGUUAAAACUCAAAUGAAUUGACGGGGGCCCGCACAAGCGGUGGAGCAUGUGGUUUAAUUCGAUGCAACGCGAAGAACCUUACCUACUCUUGACAUCCAGCGAAGCCUUUAGAGAUAGAGGUGUGCCUUCGGGAGCGCUGAGACAGGUGCUGCAUGGCUGUCGUCAGCUCGUGUUGUGAAAUGUUGGGUUAAGUCCCGCAACGAGCGCAACCCUUAUCCUUUGUUGCCAGCGAUUCGGUCGGGAACUCAAAGGAGACUGCCGGUGAUAAACCGGAGGAAGGUGGGGAUGACGUCAAGUCAUCAUGGCCCUUACGAGUAGGGCUACACACGUGCUACAAUGGCGUAUACAAAGAGAAGCGACCUCGCGAGAGCAAGCGGACCUCAUAAAGUACGUCGUAGUCCGGAUUGGAGUCUGCAACUCGACUCCAUGAAGUCGGAAUCGCUAGUAAUCGUAGAUCAGAAUGCUACGGUGAAUACGUUCCCGGGCCUUGUACACACCGCCCGUCACACCAUGGGAGUGGGUUGCAAAAGAAGUAGGUAGCUUAACCUUCGGGAGGGCGCUUACCACUUUGUGAUUCAUGACUGGGGUGAAGUCGUAACAAGGUAACCGUAGGGGAACCUGCGGCUGGAUCACCU